rnacentral:misc_RNA from 1 species
GCCUAGCCCUGAUAGAGCCGAUAUCCUCGCAACGCAGUGAAGAGAUAAAGGCGAAAGCAGGAAUAUGC